rnacentral:rRNA from 1 species
AUUUGGAAGUCCAAGAUUCCAUAAAAAGUGAAAAUAUUCAUCUGGUAUCUUCGUAAGGGAGUUGUGUUAACCAAAGACAACCUCGCAUGGCGCAACUGGCCAGGGAGUAAGAAGUGUUGUUUUUGUACUCAUGACGAUACAAUCAAACACCUCUUUUUCUAAUGCAAGUUUGCACGUUCUAUGUGGUCAGUCAUUCAAAUAGCGUCAAAUUUAUAUCCACCCACAAGUGUUACCAAUAUAUUUGGUCACUGGUUGUAUGGUAUUCCGAAUAGGUUUAAAGCGCUUAUAAGGGUGGGAGCGUAA